GAUGAACGCUGGCGGCGUGCCUAAUACAUGCAAGUCGAGCGAAUGGAUUAAGAGCUUGCUCUUAUGAAGUUAGCGGCGGACGGGUGAGUAACACGUGGGUAACCUGCCCAUAAGACUGGGAUAACUCCGGGAAACCGGGGCUAAUACCGGAUAACAUUUUGAACCGCAUGGUUCGAAAUUGAAAGGCGGCUUCGGCUGUCACUUAUGGAUGGACCCGCGUGGCAUUAGCUAGUUGGUGAGGUAACGGCUCACCAAGGCAACGAUGCGUAGCCGACCUGAGAGGGUGAUCGGCCACACUGGGACUGGGACACGGCCCAGACUCCUACGGGAGGCAGCAGUAGGGAAUCUUCCGCAAUGGACGAAAGUCUGACGGAACAACGCCGCGUGAGUGAUGAAGGCUUUCGGGUCGUAAAACUCUGUUGUUAGGGAAGAACAAGUGCUAGUUGAAUAAGCUGGCACCUUGACGGUACCUAACCAGAAAGCCACGGCUAACUACGUGCCAGCCGCCGCAGUAA
rnacentral:rRNA from 1 species